AAUUUUUGACAAUGGGCGUAAGCCUGAUCCAGCAAUGCCGCGUGCAGGAUGAAGGNCUNNGGGUUNUNAACUGCUUUUGUACGNNNNNAAAAGCCUUGGGUUAAUACCCUGGGUUAAUGACGGUACCGUAUGACUAAGCCCCGGCUACUUACGUGCCAGCAGCCGCGGUAAUACGAAGGGUGCAAGCGUUAAUCGGAAGUACUGGGCGUAAAGCGUGCGCAGGCGGUUUUGUAAGUCAGUGGUGAAAUCCCCGGGCUCAACCAGGGAAGUGACAUUGUGACUGAAAGGCUGGAGUGCGGCAGAGGGGGAUGGAAUGCCGCGUGUAGCAGUGAAAUGCGUAGAUAUGCAGAGGAACACCGAUGGCGAAGGCAAUCCCCUGGGCCUGCACUGACGCUCAUGCACGAAAGCGUGGGGAGCAAACAGG
rnacentral:rRNA from 1 species